UAUAAUAUGUAGCAUCCUCCUUGUUGAUGCUAAGGCCAGCAGCUAGUAUGCACUACAGCUUAUCAUGUCAUUCUUUUUGAUAGUAGGAAAACUAUGACUCACUGAACAUGCAUUUAGAAAACUGUAAGGAAUAGCAGAUUUUUUUUUCAAUGUUACUAGUGUAAUUGUGCUGCUUUUAUUUAUUAUUAGUGUGUUAUUGUGUAUACUGCUCUUAACUUGUGUGUUUUUUAUAUUCUGAUUUUUAUUUAUUGUCUAUAACUGUUAUGUGUUUAUCUGCUGGAUACCUGAAUUUUCCCACGGGGAUGAAUAAAGUAUCUAUCUAUCUAUCUAUCACCAAAAGUAGUAAUUGUCUCUGAAAAAUCAACUUUUUAGCUUCAUCCUGAGGAAAAGCACAUUGGGCCUCAUUCACAAACAGUGUGUACGCACAAAUCUGUGCUUAAACUGUGCGUAUGAUCGUUUGACGCACAAAUCCAGGAUUCAUCAAUAUUUUCUUACCCGAAUUUGUUCUUACUCUGCGAACUAAUUUAGAACUGGUUCAGACCAUGCGUGCGCACAAAUGAGGAAGGCCGAACUGACUUAGAAAAUGCAAACAUACCUUUUAAGUACAUGCAGAGUCUAUAAAACCACAUUCAUGAAAAAGAGAUUUAAUUAACAUUUUUUAAAAUAAUUUACUAAUAUAUUGGCCAAAUGGAUUAAAUUACCAUGAAAUUGACACACGUUCACCCUCAUCAUUGUGACAAUUAAAAUAUAAACAAUAACAUGAACAGAAAAACUAUCACUCCAUCAGCGUGCAGAUGAUCUGUAAUGCCGACUGCCAUAUCCUUAAGGCUGUGGCCUGCUGGCCAGGAGGCACCCACGACUCAUUUAUUUUGCAAAACAGUACAGUGGGAAUGCGUUUGGAGGCAGGGGCUGUGAGAAGUGGAUGGCUUGUUGGUGAGCAUCUUUUGUUCUAGUCUUUUAUUUCAAUUGUUUUAAGUUAGUAUUUUCAGUAAGUCUCUAUUCCGUUAAUGUUAAAAUGUUAUUGUUUGGGUGACCGGGCAUAUGGCCUUAAAACAUGGCUGAUGACACCAUAUGCAAACCCUGAAGCCCCUCAAGAGGUGCACUAUAAUAACAUACAUGCCCACACACGCGCCGUAGAGCGCACUUUUGGCGUGCUUAAGGGCCGUUGGAUGUGUUUGGAUCAGAUACGGCCGGUGGCAAACUACUUUAUACCCCUGAGAAGGUGUGCAAGAUCAUCCUGGCAUGCUGUGUCCUCCACAAUCUUACAAUGACCCAUGGCAUUCCUGUAAGACCCGGCGCCAUGGCUUCUAACAAACUGUGAAAUUUGCUACUUCUCUCCUCGCGUAACCGCUUCCUUCAUUCAUGAAUCAACUCCAGGCAAGCGGCUUCCUUAUAUGGAGAAAUGGGGGCGUGGUAGUAUGCUAUGAUUGCAGAUCGCGGACACGCGCCUGUCAAUUUAGAAUGGUUAUGAUUUACUAACAUACGCACAGUGGUGAGAACAAAAUUGGCCGGUACGCACGUGUCAUGAAUCCGACGGUGAUUUUGCGCAAGUACUUAUUUUUUUGCAGAGAGUAAGAACAUUUCUGCGCAGAUAUUAGUGAAUGAGGCCCAUUGUGCUUGUCAUCAGUCCUCUCAAGGCCCUGAUGAAGGACCAGGUGAGCUGCUGGACAAACCUGGGGAUUAAAAGUGCUGCAGUCACCAGAGACAUGUCUGCAGAAGACAAACAAUCUGUUCUGGACUGCAACGUGAACCUUGUGUUCAUGUCCUCUGAGGCUGAAGCGGACACCUUAUGGUUUGGCUGGGUGAGGCAGAAUAAAGAAAAGAUCUGCCUCUUGGCGAUCGAUGAGGCUCACUGCCUUACAAGCUGGUAAGAUAAAUUGAUAGUUUAACAACAAAUAUAAUGUACCCUUAAUUAUUAAAUUUUCAAAGUCAGGGGAAAAAGCUUUCAGGGGGACUACCUAAGGAUCCCCAGUCUGAGGAUAUAUAUCACAGCGCCAGUCCUGCUACUGACGGCGACAGUGACCCAGGACAUGGUCACUGAGAUACUAAACCUCCUCUGCCUGGAACCACCCCCAGUGACAAUGGUCACCUAGCUUUCCGACAGGCCCAACGUUUUCCUGGAUGUCCAAAGGACGAAAGAUGAGGACAUCACAAAGGCAGCAGAAUGGCUGGUACCUCACCUGCGCCAGGGGAAAAAUGCAGGGAAGGUCAUUGUGUACUGCAGGACCAUCAGUGGUGUGACCAAUGUCUACCAUAACAUCAUGGCAAAGUUGGGGAAUGCUGCCUGGGUGUCAGAUGAACACACAGUCCACACCAGGAUAGUGGAAAUGUUCCACAGCCACCUUUACUCCAACAGCCAGAAAAGGACAUUGGAUGCAUUUGUUGAAAUGGCAACAAAUGUGCGCUGUGUAGUUGCCACAGUGGCCUUUGGGCUUGGAGUGCAGGUGCCAGAUGUUAGAUGCAUCCUCCACUGGGGACCGGCCUCAGACAUUCUUUCGUACUGACAAGAGGUUGGACAAUGCGCUAGGGAUGGUGGUGGGGGAACCGCCAUAACCUACCUUUACCCGAGGUCGAUAAAUAAGUCAUUUAUCAACAGCAAAAACAUUGAAAUGCUACAGAAAAUUGAAACGGGCACUUGCACUCAGAGGUCAGUGUUCAAGUUUCUGCACCUGAAGGGAUUGAGCCAAGACUACAGCAGGACUUGUGAGCGUCAAGGUUGCUGCUCGAUUUGCAACACCAGACUGCAGAACUAGAGGUAAACUGAUGCAUCGGCCGGCCGAUAUUUAUCGGGCCGAUAUCUGUGUUUUUUUAGGGCUGUCAAGAUUAAUCGAGUUAAUCGCGAUUAAUUUUUUUUAAAAGUUAACUUGUUCAUUUAUUUUAACUGCGACCUAUUUUGUCCCUCUAUUUUGUGUUUCCUGUGUAAUUCACAUGGCGGUGAAAUAACACCCUGUUCUGUUUGUAAUAAGCUAGGUGCAAAUCUCCCUAUUUUUGUAGCAGCAUAAGAGAGUGAUCUGCUCUUUGUAUGAACGUUGUCUUAUUGCAGUGGUUCUCAAACAUUUCCGGUCAUGCCCCUCCGGUCAAGCGCUAUAUUUCUGUAUUCCUGCUAACAGAAUGCUUAUGGACAGAAUUAGAAUAUGCAAAACACUUUGAAGUUGUCUACUACCUCUUUAGUUUUAAGACCACAUUGUUGUGUCAUUUUAUGUUGAAGCUGUAUUUUAAGUAGACAUGUUAAUUGGGUCUACAUUGCACUUUGCAACCAAAAACAAAUACUAUGCUGCUUUUUGCUAGUGUGUGCAAUACUACUUUAAUUUAAUAUUUUAUUAAUGUUUACAU